AAUCUGCCCUCGGGAGGGGGACAACCGCUGGAAACGGCGGCUAAUACCCCAUAAGCCCACGGGUGAAAGUUCCGGCGCCCGAGGAGGAGCUCGCGUCCGAUUAGCUAGUUGGUGGGGUAAGAGCCUACCAAGGCGACGAUCGGUAGCUGGUCUGAGAGGAUGAGCAGCCACACUGGGACUGAGACACGGCCCAGACUCCUCUCCUACGGGAGGCAGCAGUGGGGAAUCUUCCGCAAUGGGCGCCAGCCUGACGGAGCUAUACCGCGUGAGGGAAGAAGGCCCUUGGGUCGUAAACCUCUUUUCUCGGGGAAGAAAGAUGACGGUACCCGAGGAAAAAGCCUCGGCCAACUCCGUGCCAGCAGCCGCGGUAAUACGGAGGAGGCAAGCGUUAUCCGGAAUUAUUGGGCGUAAAGCGUCCGCAGGUGGCACCUCAAGUCGGCGGUGAAAGGCUGGGGCUCAACCCCAGACCAGCCGUGGAAACUGAGGAUGCUAGAGUGCGGUAGGGGUAGAGGGAAUUCCCGGUGUACGCGUUGAAAUGCGUAGAGGUUGGGAAGAACACCUGGUGGCGAAAGCGCUCUACUGGACCGCAACUGACACUCAGGGACGAAAGCUAGGGGAGCG
rnacentral:rRNA from 1 species